rnacentral:rRNA from 1 species
GACGAACGCUGGCGGCGUGCCUAAUACAUGCAAGUCGAACGCAGUGGGGACGGGUGAGUAACACGUGGGUAACCUCCCAUCAGAGGGGAUAACACUUGGAAACAGGUGCUAAACCGAUACUGAUGGAUGGACCCGCGGUGCAUUAGCUAGUGGGUGAGGUAACGGCCCACCAAGGCCACGAUGCCUAGCGGGCCUGAGAGGGUGAUCGGCCACACUGGGACUGAGACACGGCCCAGACUCCUACGGGAGGCAGCAGUGGGGAAUCUUCGGCAAUGGGCGAAAGCCUGACCGAGCAAGGCCGCGUGAGUGAAGAAGGUUUUCGGGUCGUAAAGCUCUGUUGUUAGGGAGGCGGUACCUACACAGGAAGCCACGGCUAACUACGUGCCAGCCGCCGCGGUAAUUC